CACUAAAAGAUAUUUAUAUUAUCAUAACUUUUACACAAAGACCGGCGAUUGAUGGAGAAAAUCCCGGUAAACAGAGCCGGCAGACUAACAUUAGUCUCCAGAGUCAUUUGCCCACACAUGGAAGACGAUUUGAAAACACUGAACAAGAGUCUAAAACAUACACAAACUAACAUAAUACAAGUAGAGAUCUAAUUAAGAACUCAGAAUCCUUCAAACAAUCUUGCAUGUCGGUUUGAACCAGAUAAUCUUUGGGAGAGAAGAUGAUGGAGCCAUAAAGACAAAACCAUCAAAGAGUGAAACCUCCUAUAUUGAAUAGCCCAGCAGAUUAAGAACAGCUCCAAUCACCGGCGCAACAUAACUCUUCAAGUUCUUGAGCUUUGACCGGAUUAGGCAAUGGCGGAGAGACGACAAUAAACGCCAAAGUGGAGAAAGACGAAAGAAGAUCUCGAUCGGAUCUGAAAGUAGAAGACAAGGAGCGAAUCUAAACUACUCCGGAUUCAACCGCUCUCGAGAAAUCGGGAAGGGUCGAAGAUCGAUCCAGAGAAGACCAAAGAUACCUCAAACACAACAUGCAAAAUCAAUUAUCCAGAACUAGAUUCAAACAAAACCAGACCUCAAACUAAACUGGUAAGAUUGUGCAUGCGCCGAAUAGACAAAGUACAAAGAUCAUACCCGACUCCGGCUCUAUGGAAGCCGCCGGAGUCGGUGAACGGACGAUUCACUUUUUAAAAACUAUAGAGAGAGGUCGGAGGAUUUUGAGAGAG
rnacentral:lncRNA from 1 species